UGAUGAGAAUCCAAGCUUAGGACACCUUUGGAUGCGGCGCGUGCUGCAGGUGAAAAUACCGAGUUUGUUGCAUAUCGAUUCGUACUCUGAC